AUUUCCAACUUCUGCAAACAUGGGGAUUGAACAGGACCAAAGUCAUACUAAUUUACAAACCCCACCUCUCUCUCUCUCUCUCUCUCUCUCUCUCUCUCUCUCUCUCUCCCUCUCUCAUGUAAGUGUGGAUGGAAGCACAUAUUUCAUGCAAGUCCUUAUCUAUGCAUUUUAAAGAUUGCAAAACUAAUGGAUUAAGCUGGCUCUAACAUUCAUUUUCUGUGGUACGUUAUAGAGGGAAAGAAUGGAUACAUUUUGGUCACUGCAAACGGUGGAAUGAACCAGCAGCGAGUAGCUGUUUGCAAUGCUGUCACUGUUGCACGAUUACUCAAUUCAACCCUGGUUGUUCCCAAAUUUUUGUAUAGCAGUAUAUGGAGAGAUGUGAGGUGACCUAUUUCUUCCUUCUUCUUUUUUUCCACUCAAGAAUUUUUCUUUGUUUCUUGUGCGUAUGGUUUAUGUCAGUUUUGUAAUAAGAGAAAGCUGCAUUUAACUUCUGGAUUCAAAACUUGAAUGGGUUGGAGGGUUGUUGGGGUUGAUUCUAAUAAUUGCUUCAUUAUUCAUAUUCAUAUUCAUAUUGACCAUGGUUAGAAUAAUAAUAUUCAUUUGUGCGUUCUUCAAAUAAUUAAUUGCUUUUCCUGGUCUGCUGGGUAUGAAAUGAAAGUUUCUAGCUCCAAAUGCUUUCAUGUGCCCCAGUUAUUUGGGAUAUCUCCAUUAUAAUUUUACUUUAGGUUUU